rnacentral:rRNA from 1 species
UACGUAGGGGGCAAGCGUUGUCCGGAAUCAUUGGGCGUAAAGAGCGUGUAGGCGGCCCGAUAAGUCCGCUGUGAAAGUCCAGGGCUCAACCCUGGAAUGCCGGUGGAUACUGUCGGGCUCGAAUCCGGAAGAGGUGAGUGGAAUUCCCAGUGUAGUGGUGAAAUACGUAGAGAUUGGGAAGAACACCAGUGGCGAAGGCGGCUAUCUGGACGGUUUCUGACGCUAAGACGCGAAAGCGUGGGGAGCAAACAGG